GUUGCCCGGGUGACGGCAGAGCGGCCUGGCCUGGUUCAGAGCGCCCCGUGAUCCGCGGCCCCCGGCGUCCUGGCAUCCCCAGCGCGCUCCCGACCACUGCGGGCCGGAGGAGCCGCCUCAGGUGCAGAGACUGCUUCAUUUUUGUCUUUUUGCGCUCAGGGCCUGGUAUUUCUGUUCUGAGAUCGUUAGUGGGUGUUCAGAAUGGGAGAUAUUCUAGCCUCUGAAGCUGAAUUGCUUGGACUGGUGAAAGAGUAUUUAGACUUUGCUGAAUUUGAAGACACUGUGAAGAUAUUUUUAAAGGAGUGCAGAAGUAAAGGGAAGCCAUUGUGCAAAACCCCGUCUGGCUCUUUGAGAGACUCAAAAACGCUGAUUAUCCAGAAAGAUCUAAUUACCGCAUUUGAUAAUGGGGACCAGAAAGGCUUCUUUGACUUAUGGGAGGAGCACAUCCCAACCUCUGUCCGAGAAGGAGAGACUGUGGCCCAGAAGCUGGAGUUCUGUCUCCACAUCCACUUUGCCAUCUUCCCGCUGAAGCGCAUCUCUGGAAAACCGGACAAAGCGGAAUUUGAUGAAAGGAUUUCUUACUUCAAAGCCUACCUGGAGACCAGAGGAGCAGCACUGAGCCAGACCACGGAGUUUCUUCCAUUUUAUGCCCUUCCCUUUGUUCCCAACCCCACGGUGCAUCCUUCCUUUAAGGAACUCUUCCAGGAUUCCUGGACUCCAGAGUUAAAGAUGAGGUUGGAAACAUUCCUGUCGUCCACUCUCAAAGCCAGUAAUACCCCACGGCUUUUUACUCUCUAUAAGGAGAAUGGGCAGAGCAGCAAAGAAAUGCUGCAGCAGCUGCACCAGCAGCUGGUGGAAGCUGAGCGAAGGACGAUGAUCUACCUUAGGCGUCACAACAGAAUCCAAGCUGACUACCACAACCUCAUCGGGGUCACGGCCGAGUUAGUGGAUUCUCUGGAGGCCACCGUGAGCGGCAAGAUGAUCACGCCAGAGUAUCUGCAGAGCGUUUGCGUCCGUCUCUGCAGCAACCAAAUGAGGCAAAGCUUAGCCCACAGCAUUGACUUCACAAGACCAGGAACGGCUUCCACCAUGUUAAGAGCCUCCUUGGCACCUGUGAAGCUGAAGGAAAUCCCACUGCUGCCCUCCCUGGAUUAUGAGAAACUGAAGAAAGAUCUGACCUUUGGGAAUGACCGAUUGAAGGCCUUUUUGCUGCAGGCUCUGCGAUGGCGUCUGACCACGUCUCAUCCUGGAGAACAAAGAGAGACCGUGCUGCAGGCCUACAUCACCAACGACCUGCUGGACUGUCAGAGCAGCAGCCAGAGAAACGUGCUCCAGCUUCUGCAUUCCACGAAUGACGUGGUCCGACAGUACAUGGCCCGGCUCAUCAAUGCCUUUGCAUCCCUCUCCGAAGGUCGCCUCUACCUCUCCCAGAACUCCAAGCUACUGAGGAUGCUGGAGGAGAGACUGAAAGAGGAAGACAAGGACCCGCUCACCCGGGAGAAUGUGCUGGGGGCCUUGCAGAAAUUCAGCCUCAGGCGUGCACUGCAGUCCGCCAUGAUCCAGGAUGGCCUCAUCUUCUGGCUCAUCGAAGUGCUCAAAGAUCCCGACUGCCUGUCCGACUACACUCUCGAGUACUCCGUCGCCUUGCUCAUGAACCUCUGCCUCCGCAGCGCAGGUAAGAACAUGUGUGCUAAGGUGGCUGGCCUCGUGCUCAAAGUCCUGUCGGAUCUGCUUGGCCACGAGAACCACGAGAUACAGCCGUAUGUGAAUGGCGCCUUGUACAGCAUUCUUUCCAUACCGUCCAUUCGGGAGGAAGCAAGAGCCAUGGGAAUGGAAGAAAUCCUUCGAUGUUUCAUCAAGGAAGGCAAUGCUGAAAUGAUACGCCAGAUUGACUUUAUUAUCAAGCAACUUAAUUCAGAAGAGCUGCUGGACACGACUCUUGAGUCUGAUGAUGAAGAGGAGGAAGAUGAUGAAGAGGACCAGGACACCAUGGAGUCUGAUCUGGACAAGGAUGAAGUGAUACAGCCCCAGCUUGGGGAGCUCUCCGGGGAAAAGCUGCUGACCUCCGAGUAUCUGGGAAUAAUGACCAACUCAGGCAAAGCCAGGAGGAGGCCCCCUCCCAGCGGCAUGCAGCAGAGUGUCGACGAGCCCUUGCAGAGGCCUGUCACCCCUGGGUAUCAUAAGAAUGUGCACCCCACGCUAGAAAAUGAUUUCAUUUCGCCGUGUGCAGCCCGCCCCAUUCGAGGCAGCCCGCCCCAGGCCCAGCCAGGCCCUCGGCCCCCUACCCGCAGUGGAACCCGGUCCAGCACGUCUUUUACAUCCUUCAGCUCGGACCCCUACCAGCAUGAAGGCCCGCACGUCCUUUCGGCCGAUGAGCCCGGCCAGGCCCUGGAGUCGGCCCAAGGCCAAGCAGAGAGACAGCCCAGCAGAGAGUUCACCGCAGCCUUCGCCAGCAAGCCUCGGCUCCCUCGCACCCCCGAGAUACGAGGCCUGAGUCUUCGGAAGACCGAGGCGCCAGCCAUCGCCCCCCAGUUCUCUCACUCGGGGCCCCAGCAGACCGGCCGUCCCAGCUCCACAGGCUGCUCCAUGAGAAGCAGACAAAACUUUUACUAAAUUCCCGUUGUGUGCAGAGAGCCAGGCCACCUAGCAUUGUGAUAAACACAGCCAUUUCCCCCAGGAGCUUCUAGUCUGGAAGGGCCUCAGUCGGUACCUAAUAAGUGUUUGUGCAACGAAUCCCGUCUUAGAAGGCAUUUCUUUUUUUGCUGCCAGGCCUACAGGAAGUGAAGACUGGUCCUGUCCUCAGGCAUCGAUCGGUGAGACUAGCCAGCUUCCUGGACAGGUGGCGGCUGCCGUCAUCUCAUGUGGAGCAGGCGCCUCGUGGCCUCUCCCUGGCCUUUGUGGGGACUCAGAGUCAGAGGCCUCCGAGCAGUGCCAGCCCCCCACCCCAGCGCGCGCGCACACGCAAUAGAACCGGCUCUUGAUUCAUGGUUACUCCCAUCAGGGCCUCUGGGCCCACAAUGCUGAGACCAUCCCCCACCAAGGGGCUUCCUGGGGAAGGCUGCAGCCCAGGGCUGACUCCUGGGCCUGGGGUCCGGCUGCUUUUCCCACGAGGCCACAGCUGCCCCGAGACCAUCCCUGUCAGGCUGUGGACACUGCCGACUCCAGCUUCCCAGGCUUAGCUAUGGAGAUUUCUUAAAGACUUCCCUCUUACCUUUGAUCAGCCAUAGAAUGUGGCCGGGAGGGCACUCACUAUGGCACCCACCAUGGCCACAGCAGUGGGAGCAAGUGGAAAAUAAAAUGAUCCCAGAGGACAGAUGGUAGACAAGACCCCUCCUGUAGCAGAGAGGCGGGGAAGGGCUCCUGGGGCAGAGGGCUGGCUCCAGCGUCCAGGGCCUACCUUGUUUGCCUUUAUCACGAGGGAGGGCGCAGUGGGGGGAGGGCACGUCCCAAAAUGACUGAUGGAAAACCCAAGGGCGCUAAUGAAGUUGAUUUGAAAAGGAAAGAGGGAGGAAUUCUUCACUCCUUCAUCAUUUGUGAAGUGUCUCAGAACUCCCCCAUGAGCCAGUGGAAGCCGCUCCAUCUCCCCACUUAAAAGGAUAAUUCCUGCAAAGCCCAUUGUGAACCUUAAAGGGCUAAGUAAGUGGGAGCUGGGCUGAGUUCGAUUUUCUCCAUGGUGCAUGUGUCCAGCAGCAAACCGGAACCCGAAUGUCACCCGUCCUUCCAUUUCCCACCAUUAAAAACAGUAGACCUUG